rnacentral:lncRNA from 1 species
CUCUGGCUUAAUAGAAGAAAGGGGAUUCUCAUAUCUGCUUCUGCCUCUAAUGUCUUGACACGUUAUUUUGGUCAAAUUACAUGAAGAAAAUCCAGCCUCACACAAAUUUGUAGUUGGAAAAGGGAGGAAUAUUUUAAUAGCCUUCCAGAUAGCUGAAGACAUUCAUCUUUGACACGACAGCAAAGUUCAACAAGUGGUAGGUUCUUCAAAGUUGGUUGCAAUGUGGGAUCUGACAACCCUAUCGAUGAUUUCAUACUCUGUCACAUCGCUCUGUCUUAGACUCUCGGUACAUAUUUCAUGAUAGCUGGCAUUCGACGUUUUGAAAAUAUUGAUUCACUAAGUUAUGCAUAUUUUCCAAAUGUUAACACAUUUUGUUAUACAAUACGAAAAAGUAACACUUUUUAAUCUCCACCAGUCUCAUCAGAAAAGCCUAGACAUUGGAAAGCUGUCGAGCUCACAGGACAGAUACAAAUUUUACAAAAUUCAAAUUUCCUUUUGAAAGCUUGGUGAUCAUUGGUGAUAAAUAUUGUGGGUUGUUUUCUUAAAAGACAGGCUCACUUAGUUCAUUUUCGAGCAAAUGUCUGCCAAACACCCCAGUUGGAAUAACCAUGGUUAUUUGGCAGCUCAUUCAGCUUGCAACUCAAGCAGAUGAGUGCUCGCCCUCAAAACCAUCACCCUCUGGUGUGCAGCAGAAAUGCUUUCUGUGUACUUCCCAUUUUGUCACAGGGAACAUUAAAAAGAUGUCUACUGAAGGGUCAAGAUUUAAUAAAAUUAUAACCUUUAUGCUUCAUCAAGGACAUUCUUAGGAGAAACUGGACUCUGCUUCUGUCCGUCUUGCUGUCUACUGCGAGUGUGUGAAGAACGCCAGCAGUGCUGGUAGUGUUGUGCCAGGCAGGACUCGUGCUCAGGUGCCAACCGCUGAGCCCACGAGGCCUGUGCACCAUUAGUGCAAUGCUCAGCCAGCGACAAAGGCGAAGGGCGUUCACCUGGGCACCCUCACACUUGAAGAACACAGCUCUCAUCUUUAUUGCUCAAGGUACUUUAGGUGGCAGAUGACAGAAAUCCAACAAGUUGCUUAAGCAAACAAAACAAAACAAAACGAUAUAUGUGCUCACAUAGCUGGGCAGGCUUGAGCGGAUCUCGCCUCCAGCAUGACUGGAUUCAGGGCUCAAAGAAUGUUAACGCCUCUCUCUCCCUCUUUCUCUCUCCACAUCUCAACUCUCUUUUCUCUGUACUUUGGCUUAAUUCUCAUCUCCUAUAAUGGGCGCUCUGCGUAUGUCAGGAAACACAGCCACCAGCAGCUCUAAAACUACACCUGCUUGUAAUUCCAGGAAGAGAGGUCUUUUACGUAGUGUCUGGCCAUCCAGUCUCAUGGAAGAUUCCAGGAAGAGAGGUCUUUUACGUAGUGUCUGGCCAUCCGGUCUCAUGGAAGAUUCCAGGAAGAGAGGUCUUUUACGUAGUGUCUGGCCAUCCAGUCUCAUGGAAGAUUCCAGGUAGCCCAGCUAGAGCCAGGUAUCCAUCCCCUGCACCUCUGCGGGAGCCAGAGGUCCGGCUGGGUGGCCACGUGGGCGGCCAGCGGGGAGGUGCUGAGCCUGGCGGCCCCAUCAGAGCCUCAUGAUUGGCACAGGGAGAGGGCUGUGGCCCCAGGAGAGAGGGAAAGCGCCGGGCAGACAACAUAGCAGAUAUCCAUGACAAAUACUGCACUGCCAAGGUUCUCCUCUGCUUUGAGUGUUUCUAAUCAAGAGAGAAUAGAGAUCAGUGAACUGCUCUCAACUCCAUGUUCUCUUGUGUCUCAGCCCCACCACCUCACUGCUAAACCCCGUGCUGCAACGCCAGAGCAGACCCAAUUCCACGGAGGAGCCUGUGUCUGAAGCUCUUUUCUGUUAGGGUCAAAAGUGAGCUAAUGUCUUCUAAAUGGAACAACCUGGAGGGCUUUCUGGAAAAUACAGAAGGUGUUCAGGGAGAAUGGGCGUCAUAAAUAACGGAAGACAUGGCCCUUGCUAGAAGCUACAUAGGAAUACCUGGUUAAAAAGUACGUUUCAGGAGCAUUUUAAAAGAAAGAGCCAAAAUAAAAGGUGGCUGCGUGGGGCUGGCCCCGUGGCCGAGUGGUUAAGUUCGCGCGCUCCGCUGCAGGCGGCCCAGUGUUUCCUUGGUUCGAAUCCUGGGCGUGGACAUGGCACUGUUCGUCAGACCACGCUGAGGCAGCGUCCCACAUGCCACAACUAGAAGGAGCCACAACGAA